UGUUUUCCUUAUGCAAAUAUAAUUAACUUGAGGGUAAAGUACUUCUCUGUUCACCUAGUGCUUAUGAAAAAUGAUGAAUCGGCAACCUUGCAGAAUCAAGCACCCAAAGGAUAUGCUGCCUUGACACCUGUGAUGUCUGGUUUUGAGUGGURUGCUGGACUAUSGAGGUGGAAAGGCCUUUAUACACARAAAAGGUAAAGCUUGAGCACAGCUGACAGAAAUUAGUCUCUCCUGACUUAAAAUGAUCAAUUAUCUGUUUAAAAAACAGAUGGAAGAGGGAAGGGAACUUGUUCAUUUGCUUUUAUCCUUACUCUUUUCAUUGUUUAGCUCCAUCUCUAGUUUUUACCUGGCUGCUGAAAKUGGUUUCCCCAGAACGUUCAGUGAGGAAGAAUUGAGAAAAGAGGCUGAACAUAAAGUAUCRUCUUUUGGGGCUCUACAUCUCCUAACAUUUGAAAGUCUUGGUGAAGAGAAAGGGAUCUCAAUCUCAGUGUUUUUACUUCUUGGUGUUCCCGUGUGAAGUAAGUAUUAAUACUGCCCAGUUUUACAGGCAGAGGCUGACUUUGUACUGUUGCAAAAAGGCAGCUGCUAAUAGCUUUUCUAACACUAUCCUGAGCUUUUACCACCAGAAGUCUUGUAUAUAUUGUGCUCUAGAGUGUAGAUUUCUGUAAAAUGUAAUUGAAUCGUUCUAUAGAAUAUUUUUUUUUACACCUGUUUCUCGUAUGUUGUUAGUCCUUAAACCAUCUCUACUAAACACUGCAUCUGUCUGGAGUCCAACUGAAAUUAAUUUAUCAGCUCAUGAGGAAAAGUGUGCAGGAUCAGGGUCAGUCAAAGAACCAAAUGUUG
rnacentral:lncRNA from 1 species